rnacentral:rRNA from 1 species
CUGCUCAGUAACACGUAGUUAACCUAACCUAUGGACGGGGAUAACCUCGGGAAACUGAGAAUAAUCCCCGAUAGAUCACGGUGCCUGGAAUGGCCCGUGGUCCAAAUGAUUUAUCGCCGUAGGAUGGGACUGCGGCCUAUCAGCUAGUUGGUGAGGUAAUGGCCCACCAAGGCUAUAACAGGUACGGGCUCUGAGAGGAGGGGCCCGGAGAUGGGUACUGAGACACGGACCCAGGCCCUAUGGGGCGCAGCAGGCGAGAAACCUUUGCAAUGUGCGAAAGCACGACAAGGUUAAUCCGAGUGUCUCCUGCUAAAGGAGUCUUUUGCCGGUCAUAGAACCACCGGUGAAUAAGGGGUGGGCAAGUUCUGGUGUCAGCCGCCGCGGUAAAACCAGCACCUCGAGUGGUCAGGAGGUUUAUUGGGCCUAAAGCAUCCGUAGCCGGCUGCUCAAGUUUUCGGUUAAAUCUAUGCGCUCAACGUAUAGGCCGCCGAAAAUACUGGGCAGCUAGGGAGUGGGAGAGGUACACGGUACUCAAUAGGAAGGGGUAAAAUCCUUUGAUCUAUUGAUGACCACCUGUGGCGAAGGCGGUGUACCAGAACACGUUCGACGGUGAGGGAUGAAAGCUGGGGGAGCAAACCGGAUUAGAUACCCGGGUAGUCCCAGCUGUAAACGAUGCAGACUCGGUGAUGCAUUGGCUUGUGGCCAAUGCAGUGCCGCAGGGAAGCCGUUAAGUCUGCCGCCUGGGAAGUACGUACGCAAGUAUGAAACUUAAAGGAGUUGGCGGGGGAGCACCACAAGGGGUGAAGCCUGCGGUUCAAUUGGAGUCAACGCCAGAAAUCUUACCUGGGGCGACAGCAGAAUGA